AUUAUUUCCUGGCUUUUUUCUGUGAAGAACCCAGACAGGGUUAUUUGGUUAUUAUCUAUUUAAUUAAUUGUGUUAUUAUUAUUCAUUAUUAUAUGAUAUUAUAUUAUGUUAUAAUUAUUUUUAUUUUAUUUUGUUCCAAGAAGAAUUCAGAAAGGGUUAUUUAAUUAUGGCUUUCUGAAAAACAAUAAUUUUUUUACAUUUAGGCACUGCUGCAAUCGUCACACUUUUUCUGUUACAAACUGACCCGGCCCCUCAUCAGAGAAGGGAAAAGUCAUGUGGCCUUCACAGGAAAAGGUUUGGGGACCCCUGCUUUAGAGUGUUUGUCAUCUGCCCUUCCAUUUGCUUUUCUUCAUGUGCAGUGCUCCCCCUCCAUGUUUGAUCAAACUGCACUGAUAAUUUGAAAUUGUUUUAAAAUGCAUUAAUCGCAAAAAUCAGAGGACUAGAUCACAUUUCCCCCUGUUAUUUCACCACUUUAACUUUGGUCUAACCUAAUAUAGGAAUACAGAUAGAAAGAGUGCAGAGAUCACACUCGACGCCAUAACAACCUGGUGUGUUUAAGGCUGAAGCAAAUGGUCAAAAGUCCACACAUACCUCAGUCUCAGCAAUUACAGGUCAACCAAAGCAGUAUUCUCUAAUGCAGUGGACUUGCAAGUACUGCACAUUUUCUGCUGAAAAGAGCCUACUUGCUUAAGCAUUACCGCUUAAAACAUGGAUACCACACUCGGACAUCCCUACUCCCAUGUCUUCAUAAGG